rnacentral:rRNA from 1 species
GACAGAGGGGGCAAGCGUUGCUCGGAAUUACUGGGCGUAAAGGGCGCGUAGGCGGGAUGGCAAGUCAGUCGUGAAAUCUCUCGGCUCAACCGAGAAACGUCGGCUGAUACUGCCGUUCUUGAGGGAUGCAGAGGAGACUGGAAUUCCCGGUGUAGCGGUGAAAUGUGUAGAGAUCGGGAAGAACACCAGUGGCGAAGGCGACGUGCUGGGUUGCACCUGACGCUGAGAUGCGAAAGUGUGGGGAGCAAACGGG